GGGGGAGGCUGCUGGUGGCGGUGCUAGGUUACUCCUGGGUCGCUCGCUCGGGAGCGACACGGGACGGGAGUCGGAGGCAAGCCCGUACAACUUAAAACUUGCACAUACAAGUCAUGAUAUCACAGGAUACCAGAUGUUUUUUGUUUCUGUCAUUCUAGAUCAUGGAUGGGUUGCAUACAUGUGGGAUAUGCUGAAGGAGAUUCAUGUUCUGGACUCAUUGUGCGCUCAAGUUGUUGGAGGAGUGCAGCGGCAUAUGAUCCACCAUGAGGCUGUCUCACAGAUUCACUCGGCAUUAUUCAGCUGCCUACAGUGAGUUCUUUGCGAAAUGGCAUUGUCCAGCUGACAGAUGGAAGGGUAGAUUCCUCAAGAUAAUGUUAAGCUGAGCUAGAUGAUGGCCCAACUACACUCAAAUUCAGAUAAACAUCAAGAACAGAAAGGAAGUUGCGGAACUUUGCUUAGGGUUUGUAGCACUCAAAGACGAACAGGUUGAUCCAGACGGGUCACGGUGGCUGGGGUUUAACCCUAUUACAAUUCUAGAUGCCUCUACCGAUAUCCAAAUCUUGGCUUUAUAGCCAUUACAAAACAGAAAGUAAUCUGAAAGGUAAAAGGAGAGCAGGUGAAGUUGCUGGACAAUCAACAGCGACCCUUGACGUGAUGGCUGCCGUCCGAUGGAAGAUCAAUGUCUCUCAGCAGCUGUCUGUGGCGCGAAGCGGUAGUGGAGGCCAGCGUCAUUGGAUGUGAAUCGGACAGUGGAGUUUGAAUCAACAGCUGAAGCGAUAACCUGCAAUUAACUGAAGAUGGGCUGUUGUCGAUUUUCAGAUAAGGGGCCUGACAGAUAAAACGCGAUGUUUUCACUAGUGACGAGUCUGGGAUGUGUAUGCUUGAUGCAAUCAGGCAGUACGAUGGAGAUAAGAUGAUGUGGCCAUUGACGAAAGGUUCAUAGUCUGUUUGACUUUCUUACUUCUUUCAUAAAUUUGUCGGAUGAGAACUUUCGCAGCCAGAGCUUGCAUGCUGUUUUGGCUCUGAAAUCUGCAGAAAAACUUGGCCACUUUUCGGCAAACAGCUGUUUUCGAGGUAUUUUGUUUGCAUGACGAGCACAGAAAUUGUGUCUGAAAAUUUGUUACGGGCUGCCCUAGAAGACCAUGAAUGGGUGUUAUCGCCAAUGCUUAUGUAGUGUGCAAAUUGUUCAUCACCUUGUGAGGGUUUGGACGGUAUGUUUAGUGAUCUAAACGGUUUUAUAUUUCAUUAUGGAGGGAGUACUUUUUGUUAGGAUGGAACUAGUAAGUACGUGGAUCUUCUAAAUGACUUGUUAGCUAUAUUG